CCAUAUCAAUAAGCGGAGGAAAAGAAACCAACAGGGAUUGCCCUAGUAACGGCGAGUGAAGCGGCAACAGCUCAAAUUUGAAAUCUGGCUCUCGGGCCCGAGUUGUAAUUUGUAGAGGAUACUUUUGAUGCGGUGCCUUCCGAGUUCCCUGGAACGGGACGCCAUAGAGGGUGAGAGCCCCGUCUGGUUGGAUGCCAAAUCUCUGUAAAGUUCCUUCAACGAGUCGAGUAGUUUGGGAAUGCUGCUCUAAAUGGGAGGUAUAUGUCUUCUAAAGCUAAAUACCGGCCAGAGACCGAUAGCGCACAAGUAGAGUGAUCGAAAGAUGAAAAGCACUUUGAAAAGAGAGUUAAAAAGUACGUGAAAUUGUUGAAAGGGAAGCGUUUAUGACCAGACUUGGGCUUGGUUAAUCAUCUGGGGUUCUCCCCAGUGCACUUUUCCAGUCCAGGCCAGCAUCAGUUUUCCCCGGGGGAUAAAGGCGGCGGGAAUGUGGCUCUCUUCGGGGAGUGUUAUAGCCCGUCGUGUAAUACCCUGGGGGGGACUGAGGUUCGCGCAUCUGCAAGGAUGCUGGCGUAAUGGUCAUCAACGACCCGUCUUGAAACACGGACCAAGGAGUCGUCUUCGUAUGCGAGUGUUCGGGUGUCAAACCCCUACGCGUAAUGAAAGUGAACGCAGGUGAGAGCUUCGGCGCAUCAUCGACCGAUCCUGAUGUUCUCGGAUGGAUUUGAGUAAGAGCAUACGGGGCCGGACCCGAAAGAAGGUGAACUAUGCCUGUAUAGGGUGAAGCCAGAGGAAACUCUGGUGGAGGCUCGCAGCGGUUCUGACGUGCAAAUCGAUCGUCAAAUAUGGGCAUGGGGGCGAAAGACUAAUCGAACCUUUCUAGUAGCUGGUUUCCGCC
rnacentral:rRNA from 1 species